AUGGAGCACGCCGUGAGAUUUCCCCAUCCACCACGGUCGCCGCCGUCAAGGGCUUCUUCACGGAUCUGGGACGCCAUGGACAUGCAGCUCCUCAAGGACUUUCUAUUGAAACAUCUUGUCCAUCAUGUGUAGAACACGAUGCACCGUUAAGUCAAGGUUCAGGACGACGUAUAUCGUAGCCCCAUGCUGGCUUUUUUCCAAUGCAGGACCUUCUACAUCUCUGCAUAUCGAUCCAUUUUGGACCUCAGUAGAAAAUUCAUCAUUUUAGUGUCCAUCUGAAGAAUCACAUCGUGAUAGGAACAAGGACAAUGGCUGGCAUGUUGGUAGGAAUCUGAGAUGAUAAAAAAUAGUACUCAUCCAACUGCUAACUGAAUAUGCUGGAAAUUAGCUCAUAGUUACACAUAUAUUAUUACUGGGGCAGUACUACCCUAGACUUGCAUAUUCAGAAUUAAUUGAUCUCACACAGUAGUGCCAUUUGUCGACACACCGUAUGAUAUAUGAAUAAAACCAUAAAAGUGUAUAUGAAACUGUAUAAUCUGGCACUUCGUUUCAUGCCUACAUCAAUGCAAUGUCCUUUUUAUGUUAUCAUGGCAUACAUAGAUAAUUAAAUGAGGAUUCUUUGAUAAUGUCUCCAUCUCUUGAGCUAAGCACAUGCUGUCAACAUCAUGGAACGACAUGGAGCUGCAGACAUGCACUUUGGCGCAGAGGUUGACUUGCAGCUGCGUCUGCAAUCUCCCAAACAAAUGAGCAGCACCAUGCAGUUGUGGGCUUGCAGCAGGUUGGCGGGCGAAUGGUCAUAGCAGGAAUACAACGGGCAUGUCGACUGCUGCGAGUAUUCCAUUCAAGUCGACAACUAUAUUUGCAAGAGUUUUACACCACCGUAUGAUCGAUGAAUUCGAGGUCUGAGGCCCGUCCAGGGGCUAGAGCAGAUUCAUCGGACGGUGGAGUUGAGUGACCCACUCAUUGAUACCAGGUGUGCUCAAGUGAAGCCAGGGAUUUGAUCCAUCCAUCUCGGAGCGCAUGAAUCAACAGAGGAUCCAUCCAGUCAAACAAGUGAAUUUAGGCUUGAUUAAUUAGCAGGAGCAUACGAGUGUCUUUUGCACAUGUAGUUUAGGUUUGUACAGGUUCAGGUAGUCAACUGUUAAGCAUGGUAGGAUCCGCAAGCUGGGCAGUAGGCAGCGUCACGGUACGAUCCAGCAGGACGGCGGAGGAGGCGGCCCGUGGUGACUGGGGAGGAUACAAAGGGGGAUGGAGAGGUUGCGGGAAAUUUAUGGGUCUGGACUGGAGCAGAGGGAGAUAGAGAAUGGGUGAGAAAGAUGGAGAUGUUGAUAGGUAAUACCUGUUGGAAAGAGAUGUUGAUAGUUUACUUUUCUUCAUCUCCAACGCAACUAUCAACUGAUGCGCUGACUGUAUCAUCACAGUUCUCAUGUAUACUGCAUUUGAUCACGGUUCUCAUGUGAUCGGCUACCUGCAGAUCUACAUACUAGGGCGAUAAUAUGCAAUGUAGGAGUCUUGACCAUCCAAUGAUUUAUUUGUGUUUGGUUUUGCUGCAUCGGUCAAUAUGUGCAUAUCCUUGGAUGUAGUAUUGCUUUUCCUAAGUGUGUUUUGUAGAUCAGAUAAUGAUUCGCAAUGUACUAGGAGGUUUGGACAGCAAGUGAUUGUCACCAACACCAAGGAUCAGGUUCCUGCCAGAAGAACCCAAAGCAGAGCAAGAGAAGGAAAAUGAAGGUGAAGUUGCAGGUUCUGUUGGAGAGAGGGCUUCAUCACAUACUUGCUGCGAAGGCCAUGUUGUCGAGGAGCCGGUGACUGCCGCUCCA